GGGGAUGGGCCCCCUCAGGACCACCUAGGGCUUCUGGAACUCUCCCCUCGGGGGGUUCAGGCUCACGGGUCUCUGGCUGCUGCAAAGGGGGUCGGUCAGCUCCUGGAAGCCCCGCGGGCCAACUCUGCGCCAGGAGCGCCGGGGAUCUGCAGUCCCCCCGCACCCAAGGCUACCUGAGCUAGUCUGCUUGAAACAGGCAAAAGUUGGUUUUUAUUUAUUUAUUUUUUGAAUCCUCCUUCUCCACCUCCGCUGGUAGGCAGUCCUUCUACCUCCUACAGUGGCAGCAUCACCUCGUAAGCUCCUCGAUGUCUCAGAACACAUCACCUGAACGUCUCCGCAGUGGGAAACCACGAAGGAGCGUUGGGAGGGGAUUGCGGGGAAACCCAAGUGGGGAACUAAUAAAACUCUUGUUAGAGGGCCUGCUCGGGAUCCGUGGCGUCACUGGGCCUUUUGCUCGGAAAGCCAAAGAGUUGUAUUCCUAAAUGAGUUAAAGACCCAUUUACCUCUGUCGUGUUCUAUUCAUCAAGCCCCAAGUUGAGAGUUCCUAACAUGAAACUAUUUGUUUGCUUACACAACCAGCUGGGCGCAAUUUCACGUCUGAGAUAUCUAUCUGAAAGCGCCCCUCAUUUAUUAUCUCUCCUUGUCAGCGAAUCCAUUUUCCAGCUCCCCCUCCCCCCUUGGACUUUAUUUAUUUAUUUAGGGGGUGGUGGUGGGGGGGCACUCCUCUGCCUGGAGGACCUGGGUCUGGAAGGCUCCCAGGGGACUGGCCGCUCCUACCCGGUGUCUGCGUGGAGCAGGGGCGCGGAAGGCUCGUCCGCCGCCACCGCUGACCCCGGCGGCCGGCGGGUGGGCCCGCCUGGAGACGACAGAGCUGCCUUUCUGCCUGGAUGUCCUCCCCGCUAGCUCGUCCCAGAGUCAGCCACAACCACCUGUGCGAGGCAGGGGUGGGCGGAGGCCGGCCCGGGGAGUUCACGAGCCUCUCUCCCGGAGUGGGGGGCCCGAGAUACGAGAUACGAUCCGGAUUUGAGAGAUGCUUUACUCAAAGCCUCACCUAGUCCCGUGGGGCCAAUUUCUUCUCCGGGGGCCCGGAGCGCGGAGCCUCCUCUCCUUUUGUCUUCAGAUCUGGAGGAGAAAAAGAUUUCUCCGUGGAAGCUGGAGCCUGAACUUACAUUUGGUUGUUGGAGAUUCUGGGUAUUAAAGAAAAGAAAAGAAAAGAUCCUAGGAUCUCGCCUGAUCUUUUACUCUGCUUUUAGAAACUUUCAUCCCCAAGAAGGAAACUUUUUUGCUAUAAUAGGCUUGUUGAAACUCCAAGCUUAAAUGAGACAGAAAAUCCUCUGAAAAAUAUUUUGCCUUUUCUCCUUGUUGACACGCAGAGAGGUGGAUGUUUAUAUGUUUGGCUCACAGACACAUGUAAAUCUGGUACUUGUAGUUAAAAGAUUUCUAGACUAUAGCAACCAGGGGUUGUUUGAGCUUUUUGUUUCUCUUCUUUCUUCAGCUUGCUUUUGUGGGGUUUUUUUUGUUGUUGUUGUUAUGAUGAGAUUCAUUUUAUUUUCUAUAAUAAAUAUCCUGCUAUUACUUUAUCACUCUUCGUUGUUUAAAUGAACUUCUUUCAAGAUUAAAUAAGAUCUAGUUUUUGUACUAUCAGAAAUAAGCAAUUUUAGAGGUCUCUACUAUUUUAAGAAACAUUUAAAAAUAAUAUUCAUUCAAGCAACUUUAAUCACCUUACACCUAUUGGGGAGAAAAGUGUGUUUUCACCAUAUUUCACAGGGAUAAAUAUGUAUCCACUUUGCUUUCCUAGAUCCUCUGCCUUGAACCACCAUCAAAGGAGGCAGAUAGUGUACAAAUUAUCCCAUGUUGACAGAUGUUUGUCACUUAGUAACUUCUUUCCAAGUUUUUUUCUCCUCCCCUAAGCCUUCUUUCCAGCUUGCUUUGUUGUUUUAAAAUAUGCAUGUCUCUCACUGGAAUGCCAGUCACGAGUGCAAACUUUGUGUCCAACCUCCCACAUGAAAUGAUCCUUUUAGAGGGAACUCGAUAUGUCUCAAUCUGCACUUCACUCAAAGCCUCUGAGUACCGGCCACUCACUCACUGGUCCUGGUCUAAAGUAACUCAGCAGAAGCGAGUUUCCUGCUAAAAAAUCCCCUCGAAUAUCUCCCAGGGAAGAAAUAUAGCUCCUAUAAUUAAAGGAGGCAACGGCCAGAGGGGGAAUGCAGCCGGCAGCCAAAAAAAAAAGUAAGAGUUUUAUUUAUUUGCUGAUUGAACUUGUGUUGUCAUGACCAGCGGGUUUAUCCACACUUGAACUCCUGGAGUUACUCUCUUCUACUGAUGUGAAGUGACGUCAGCAAGGCCUGUCCUAUCCCCUUGGAGAGAAGGGAGUGAGGAGGAGGGGAUGGAAGGAGGGAGCUGGGAGAAAGAGCUAAAGAAAAAGAGAAAAAGCAAACCGGACGAACAGAGGACCGCAUGGGAAUGAGUCUUCUACACUCGGGGGCCCCAGUUCCACCAACAGUGGGCAAAACAAUGCUUGCGAAGUCGGGGGUUGGUAGAACACCUUUCUCUCCUCUCCCGCGAUCUACAUAUUCUAACAUAUGGAAAGCUUACAGGCCCCGAGCACUUAUAGAAGCCGAUAAUGCAUUAGCUCUCAGCAAUAUUUACAGCACCACUUUUAAUACACACCAGAUGGUUCGCGACUGUGCCGCCCCAGCCAGCUCACUCCUCGAUUUUACUCGGCGGCACUUUGUUGCAAUUACGCUCCAUGCUGAGACCAAUUUUAUUGGUGACCUAUUUUUCAUAUUUUGUAGCAUUUUAUGUUAAAAAAAAAAAAAAAAAAAACCUCCUCUCUGGCCUUUUUGUAAAGGGCAGCGCGCAGGAAGGGAGAGCUUAGGAGGACGGCGGGACUGUCUAGGUGGAUAUUAAUAUUUAUCAUGAUGUUCCAUACCUCGGGUUUAAGUGAGUCAACCGGAUAGACAUAAGUACUCCGGUCAUUAUGUUUGUUCACUCACCCCCCUGUUUGUCAGACGCCCACGGACUGUCUACACGGCGCGCUUGCCUCCGAGUCAAUACAUCCGACCAUAAAUAUUGUAUUCCAUUAAUUAUCACGCCACUGGCUGAUCCCGGGCGCCGGCGUCCUCGAGCGACGCAGGGCAAAUGAGGACGCUUCCUGAACAGAUUUCUAGGCUGGGAACCCCGCGGAAAUUGCCGCAGAGCCUGGGAAUUCCUAGAGCCCGAGCGCCCGGCUCGACUCGGGCUGGGCCCGGACCGGCUGGCGGGGGAGGGAGGCGGCUGCGGAGGCCCGACGCCGCCAGGAGGGCUCAGUACCUGUUAUCUUGCCACGCAGAAGGCCACAGGGAGAAUCCCAUUUGGCACGCCGGGAAAGGCUUUCAACUUUAUCUCCCGUCAUGUAAAUAUCCCCAAGUGCCCGACUGUGAACUUUGUUUUGCACCGAACAAUAUAAAUAUCCUAUUUGCUACCACACAGGUGUGCGCUUCCUAGUCGAACUCUUUUUUUUUUUUUCCCUCCCUCGUUUGUAGUAACUCUAUAUACCCCCCAUCCCCUGGUUUAAAGAAGAAAAAAAAAAAAAUCACAGAUGUUUACUUUAUGGGUAUAACCUAUACCAUGGUUAGGCUGAGAAUAAUAUGCCUCAACUCACAGUCAUUUAGCAAAUAAUAGAGGCGUUCUGGAUGCUUUCCAACGUUACACAUGUACUUGGUCAUAAAAUGAUACGUGAAAAAAUUAACAUCUGCUUUCCUAAAAUAAAGUGUGCCAAGUAGCUUUUUAUGAAUGCGUUCCUCAUUUUAAAAAGAAAUAUGGAGAGAUAAACUGGCACCCAGAUGUAUAGCAUAUUUAUAAUUGUUUUCGGAUUUAAAGGUAGUGUAUUCAUUGCACAAGGCAUUUUAAAACUGAUGGUUUAAAAAGCUACUUAACCCCAGACAUCUUUGCAUCCUGAAGAGUCUUUCACAUUUUAUUAUUUAAAGAGGAAUUUGUCAUUGUGUAUCAAGGCAGAACUCCGGCAAGUCGGGGCACUGCAGCCUGAACUCAACAGAAAUUCCAACUCGCCUUUUAUUUACCUAAUUUCUCAGCAAGGUUCCCAGGCCCUUAAGAAGGCAGAGCUGGAAAGUUUAGUUGGGCUCUUUUUUGUUGUUGUUUAAUUCCACUAUUAGGAAAUGAGGCCUACCUUUGAAUUAUUUCAUUAGGGUUUGGCCUUUUGGGGGAAGGGGUGGGAACCAUAAUCAUUAGUGGCUUUUUAUUAUUUCUACAAUAAAUGGCUAGAUUCUUUGUUGAAUAAGCUGCUUGAAUGUUUUGCAGAUGUUCCACUUAGACCAAAUCUGACCCCCUAUUUCCUCCCAAAUAAGUCGCUUAAACUCUCCCACCGCUCGGGAGCAUACUCCCCCAUCCUGGCAACUUUAUAAGUGCGGGGCAUAUUCUUAUGAAAUUUCCACCUAACUGCACACACACAUACAUUUACACACACACACACUCCCACCCACUGAGCCUCUGAGCGUGGAAGAGGGUAAGACAAGAGAAAAGAAAAAAAAAAGACGAGAAACUGGUGAGGCGGAUGGGGUGGAGGAGGGAAGUCAGCACAGUGGUUACAGCCCUGUGAGGAGCGCGCCCGCCCUGGGCCCCUCACCCCCUCUUUGUGCCACGGGUUUGAAACAUGGGGGGUGACCCCGGUCCGAGGGCCCCAAAGUGCCAGGAAUCUUGAUCUGCCCGGCGCCUGGGGCGUCAGCCUGGGGCCGACCCCGCGGUCACCCCCCGCCAUCCCACCCCGAGCAUCCUUCCCGCGGCGGCGGCCCGUGGGUACCCAGGCCGAACAAAGGGCUCCGUGGGGCGC
ensembl:lncRNA